CUGCCUAUGUCCCAGAAAUCCAGCUCUGCCUCACUAUGGGGGCCACAACCUGUAAUGGAUCAGUGGAUGGAUCACCAGUCUUCUACCUGGUGGGAAUCCCCUCUCUGCCAGAGAGCUUCUUCCUCCCCGUGUUCUUUAUUUUCCUCCUCCUCUACCUGCUCAUCCUGCUGGGAAAUGCCCUGAUCCUGGUGGCUGUGGUGGCAGAGCCCAGCCUCCACAAGCCCAUGUACUUCUUCCUGAUCAACCUCUCCACUCUGGACAUUCUCUUCACCACAACCACUGUCCCCAAGAUGCUGUCCCUGUUCCUGCUUGGAGACCACUUCCUCAGCUUCCCUGCCUGCUUAUUGCAAAUGUACCUCUUCCAAAGCUUCACGUGUUCAGAAGCUUUCAUCCUGGUGGUCAUGGCCUAUGACCGCUAUGUGGCUAUCUGCCGCCCCCUGCACUACCCUGUCCACAUGACCCCACAGACCAAUGCUGCCCUGGCAGCCUAUGCCUGGUUUAUCGCUCUCCUCCUGCCCAUCCCUGCAGUGGUCAAGACCUCCCAGAUGGCGUAUAACAAUAUUGCUCACAUCUACCAUUGUUUCUGUGACCACCUGGCUCUGGUUCAGGCCUCCUGCUCUGACACCACGCCCCAGACCUUCAUGGGCUUCUGCAUCGCCAUGGUGGUAUCCUUCCUGCCCCUUCUCCUGGUGCUUCUCUCCUAUGCCCACAUCCUGGCUUCAGUGCUUCGCAUCAGCUCCCGAGAAGGACGCUCAAAAGCCUUCUCCACCUGCGGCUCCCACCUCCUGGUGGUUGGCACCUACUAUUCAUCCAUUGCCAUAGCCUAUGUGGCCUACAGGGCUGACCUGCCCCUCGACUUCCACAUCAUGGGCAAUGUAGCAUAUGCAAUCCUCACACCAAUCCUCAACCCUCUCAUCUACACGUUGAGAAACAAGGAAGUCAAGGCAGCCAUCACCAAAAUCACAUAUCUCAAGACCCAGUCUUGGAUAAGAGCCCUUGAGCUUUAGAUGCAGCUAAUUCUGCACUCAGGACACAAAA